rnacentral:rRNA from 1 species
UUCUCCGGACGGUGGGCGGCGACAUUAAGGGGACCGGCUGGCGCUAAGUCAGAGGAAGGAGAGGUCAACGGUAGGUCAGUAUGCCCCGAAUCUCCCGGGCUACACGCGCGCUACAAAGGACAGGACAAUGGGAUGCAAUACCGAGAGGUAACGCCAACCCCGAAACCUGUUCGUAGUUCGGACUGAGGGCUGUAACUCGCCCUCACGAAGCUGGAUUCCGUAGUAAUCGCGGGUCAACAUCCCGCGGUGAAUAUGCCCCUGCUCUUU